rnacentral:rRNA from 1 species
CGCGUAGGCGGUGCGGUAAGUCUCUUGUGAAAUCUCCGGGCUCAACUCGGAGCCUGCAAGGGAAACUGCCGUGCUUGAGUGUGGGAGAGGUGAGUGGAAUUCCCCGUGUAGCGGUGAAAUGCGUAGAUAUCGGGAGGAACACCUGUGGCGAAAGCGGCUCACUGGACCACAACUGACGCUGGUGCGCGAAAGCUAGGGGAGCAAACAGGAUUAGAUACCCUGGUAGUCCUAGCCCUAAACGAUGAUCGCUUGGUGUGACAGGUACCCAAUCCUGUCGUGCCGGAGCUAACGCGUUAAGCGAUCCGCCUGGGGAGUACGGUCGCAAGGCUGAA